AUUCCUACGGGAGGCAGCAGUGGGGAAUCUUCCGCAAUGGACGAAAGUCUGACGGAGCAACGCCGCGUGUAUGAAGAAGGCCUUCGGGUUGUAAAAUACUGUUGUUCGGGAAGAACCGUCCGAGUGUGAAUAAUGCUCGGGCCUGACGGUACCGAACGAGGAAGCCCCGGC
rnacentral:rRNA from 1 species